UGGCGGACCGGGUGAGUAAUGUCUGGGAAACUGCCUGAUGGAGGGGGAUAACUACUGGAAACGGUAGCUAAUACCGCAUAACGUCGCAAGACCAAGAGGGGGACCUUCGGGCCUCUUGCCAUCGGAUGUGCCCAGAUGGGAUUAGCUAGUAGGUGGGGUAACGGCUCACCUAGGCGACGAUCCCUAGCUGGUCUGAGAGGAUGACCAGCCACACUGGAACUGAGACACGGUCCAG
rnacentral:rRNA from 1 species